UACGGAAUGUGCAAACGUUAUUCGGAAUCACUGGGCUUAAAGAGUCCGUAGGCGGCAUGUUAGGUGAGGUGUGAAAUCCCACGGCUCAACCGUGGAAUUGCGCUUCAAACCGGCGUGCUUGAGGAAGAUAGAGGUGGGCGGAACUGAUGGUGGAGCGGUGAAAUGCGUUGAUAUCAUCAGGAACACCGGAGGCGAAGGCGGCCCACUGGGUCUUUUCUGACGCUGAGGGACGAAAGCUAGGGGAGCGAACAGG
rnacentral:rRNA from 1 species